CUCAAAUCAGGUAGGACUACCCGCUGAACUUAAGCAUAUCAAUAAGCGGAGGAAAAGAAACUAACAAGGAUUCCCCUAGUAACUGCGAGUGAAGCGGGAAAAGCUCAAAUUUAAAAUCUGGCAGCCUUUGGUUGUCCGAGUUGUAGUCUGGAGA
rnacentral:rRNA from 1 species